rnacentral:rRNA from 1 species
AAUUUUGGACAAUGGGGGCAACCCUGAUCCAGCCCUCCCGCGUGUGCGAUGAAGGCCUUCGGGUUNUAAAGCACUUUUGGCAGGGANGAAAAGGCUCUGGCUAAUACCUGGAGCUGCUGACGGUACCUGCAGAAUAAGCACCGGCUACCUACGUGCCAGCAGCCGCGGUAAUAAGUAGGGUGCAAGCGUUAAUCGGAAUUACUGGGCGUAAGGCGUGCGCAGGCGGUUCGGCAAGAAGGAUGUGAAAACCCAGGGCUUAACCUUGGAACUGCAUUCUUAAAUGGCGGGCUAGAGUAUGUCAGAGGGGGGUAGAAUUCCGCGUGUAGCAGUGAAAUGCGUAGAGAUGCGGAGGAAUACCGAUGGCGAAAGCAGCCCACUGGGAUAAUAAUGACGCUCAUGCACGAAAGCGUGGGGAGCAAAC